CCGUCCUCUCCGUCCGCCGCCUCGUUCCCCUCCGCUCGUCGGCCGUGAAGGUUUGAUUUUUCGGAGACCACUGUCCGGAGUCCUCGCUCUCCUUCCGCCUCUGUCCAUCGUCAACCACCUCCCCGCCUUCGACCACGAAGCUUGCCCCCUCCAUGACGCCGUCGACCAGAGCACUAGAAAGCAUAGGUGCCCCUUUUCCACUCCUCGGACGGCUACGCGCUCAAGGUGGAGGAGCUCGCCGGAGUGGUGCUGACUGGCGACUCUGUGGUGGGAAAGUCCAAUCUGCUCUCCCACAUCACCCGCAAGGAGUUCUGCCUCGACUCCAAGUCCACCAUCGGCGUCGAGUUCACCGCCCGCACGCUCCACAUGCAGAUUAUUGCUGCCAAACAAGACGAGCUAGCUAGUAAAUCGAUUGCUAACAAAUCAAAUCUGAGUGAAAAGGAAAUACUUUGGCAUGGUACAGUUUGACCAGCCACAGGACCAAAUCAGUUAACCUACUCCCUUUAGUCUGCAUCAAGCAAGCAACAGCAUGACGAAGAGAUUACAACAACAACAGUCGCUACAGAUCAAUCGACAGGGGAAGAACAGCAGAAGACCAGAGAUUGCACUGUACCUUCUUCUUCAGAGAAGAUCAGCAGCGAAGAACAGCAGGUCAGCACGAGCACGAGCUCCACCAGCAAGCAUGCAGCGUGGGCGAGCGUACACGCACCCGAGCGUGGGUGAUACUCCAAUGGCAGCGGCGCCGGUUUUUGGUCACCGGAGGAGCUUACUGACGAGCUCCAAUGGCAGCGAGCGGCAGACCACAACGGCCAGGCGAACCAGCAACCAAUCGACAGGAGAAAAGUGACCUGGAGGACCAGAAGAUCACCCUGAAGCUGUUGAGCCGCUCGGGGAAACUAGAGGAGGAGCGACGGCGCUGAGCUCGUGUGCAGAAUCGGCGGCCGGAGUGGGAGGAGACGGGAUCGAUUCCGUCGAUCAGCGGCUUCCCAGCAAGCGUGGCUCAAGGAGGGUGUAGGUAUCGGCGAGGCGGAGCUCCUGGUAUGCUCGGGAAGGACUGAGGAGGUGCGACGGCGCCGAGCCCCUGUGCGGACG